rnacentral:miRNA from 1 species
AUCACUUGGGGAUCUUGUAUAAAAUGCAGAUUCUGGUCCUGUAGGUCUGGGGUAGGGUCUGAGAUUCUGCCUUUCUAACAAGUUCCCAGCUGAUGC